rnacentral:rRNA from 1 species
CCAGACUCCUACGGGAGGCAGCAGUGGGGAAUAUUGCACAAUGGGGGAAACCCUGAUGCAGCGACGCCGCGUGAAGGAAGAAGUAUUUCGGUAUGUAAACUUCUAUCAGCAGGGAAGAAAAUGACGGUACCUGACUAAGAAGCCCCGGCUAACUACGUGCCAGCAGCCGCGGUAAUACGUAGGGGGCAAGCGUUAUCCGGAUUUAUUGGGUUUAAAGGGUGCGUAGGCGGUCCGUUAAGUCAGCGGUAAAAUUGCGGGGCUCAACCCCGUCGAGCCGUUGAAACUGGCAGACUUGAGUUGGCGAGAAGUACGCGGAAUGCGCGGUGUAGCGGUGAAAUGCAUAGAUAUCACGCAGAACUCCGAUUGCGAAGGCAGCAUACCGGCGCGCAACUGACGCUCAUGCACGAAAGCGUGGGUAUCGAACAGGAUUAGAUACCCCCGUAC